rnacentral:lncRNA from 1 species
GACACGGGCGGUUUCGCUGGCAGCGGGUAUAUUUAGCACUUCCCCGAGCCCUUCGUGUGCUCCUGCCGCCGUGCGAGCGCUCGGUAAUUAAUUGACGCGGCUCUCGGCGGUGGUCCCGGGGUUAAUGGUGGCCCCCCGGGGUUAAUGGUGGCCCCCCGGGGCUUGUGGUGGCUCCCCGGGGUCGUGGUGGUCCCGCGGCCCCACAGGUUUUCCUGACUGUUCUGUGGCCCUGUCGCUGCAGCCGCCAUGGAUCCGAAUGCUGUGGCUGCAAAGGCUUCUUACUUUCUCAUACUGGAUCCCUCAAAUCCAAGAGCUGCUUGGCAGUUUCCAAGGCAACCACCUGUGGAAUAAUUAAAAAGGAUGAAGCGUUAGUGUGCCAAAGAUACGGAAUUCUUGCCUGGAGAGAGCACUUCAUUUUCAUCUGUUGUGAAGAAUCAAAUGUGUCUCUGCCAGCAAAGUUAAGAAGAAGAAAUGGUGACCGAGCUGUGCAAGUGAACCAGGACAAUCCAAAAAAUUCAGAAGGCGUCUGUGAGCGGCCGGGCAGGACUAGCACAGGAGAGGUGCUUCUGGUACCUGCUGCCUCUCGCCUGGGGCUUGUGCCAGCAAGGAGCCGAGGUGCCGACUUCACAUCACACCUGGGCUCGAUUUCGGAUGCUUCUCCUGGCAACGCAGGGGAUACGCAUUAUCUUCAUCUUACCUGGAAACCUAAGAGGAAUUUUAUGGCCCUUGAAAGCGGGAUGAGUGCUGUUUGUCUCGUGGUUUUACAGCCUGGUGUAAACAGAGCACUGCUCCGGCCUGGAAAUGCAGGAGGCUGCUGGAACAGUCGAUGUUGCUGAGAGGCAGGUCGUGCCUUCGAGGGGUGCUGCUCCCACCUUGACACCG